rnacentral:rRNA from 1 species
CUGGUAGGUGGCUUGUUAAGUCGCGUGUGAAAGCUCCAGGCUCAACCUGGAAAGUGCGCGCGAAACUGGCGAGCUUGAGUGCCGGAGAGGGUCGCGGGAUUCCCGGUGUAGAGGUGAAAUUCGUAGAUAUCGGGAGGAACACCAGAGGCGAAGGCGGCGACCUGGAAGGUAACUGACACUGAGCAGCGAAAGCGUGGGGAGCAAACA